AAAGGGGGCAGACUGUAAAUCUGUUGGCCUUGCGCCUACAUUGGUUCGAAUCCAAUCUCCUCCACCA
rnacentral:tRNA from 1 species